GUGAUACUAACUAUUAAAGUAGUAAAAUAGUUAAAUGCAUCCUUAUAUAGAGACACUAUAUAUGUGUUUUUUUUUUGACAAGAGUCAAAUUAUUUAUGGUCAUGUACAUCCUUCCCAGUUUUGGGAUUAUAGACCUAUAGUAUUUAGUCGGUUGUAAAUUAUGUAUAAAGAUAUACAUGUACAUGUUAGUUAGUUUCAUUUGGAAAUUCAGGGUGGUAUUAAUGAACUUGUCAUUUAGACAUUGAGAUAGUUUUAUAUUUUGAAGUAUGAUUUUUGUCAGUUAAGGUCUGAACAGUUGAUACAUGUAUAUGUAUGUGAACAUUACACAGAGUCAGGGAUUUUAGACGUGUUGAGCACGCAGUUUAUUGUCUUGUAAUGAGACCCAUGUCCAGGACUGUAUAAGUUGGAAUAGCAUAUGGCUAUGGUCGACCUGGAGUUCGGCUGUUAUUUGUCCUGAAGAACCUGUUGAGGUUGGCACCCUGUGGCAACUCUGGUGUGUAAAUUGUUGGGAGUUUGGUACUCCAUAGAUAAGAUAGCUGUUCAGAGCUCGAUUUUCAUAUGUUUAUUUUUACAUGGGUAAUUAUUUUUUUUUUU
rnacentral:lncRNA from 1 species